rnacentral:tRNA from 1 species
CGGGGCGUAGCGCAGUCUGGUUAGCGCGCCUGCCUUGGGAGCAGGAGGUCCCCAGUUCAAAUCUGGGCGCCCCGA